rnacentral:tRNA from 1 species
GGGGAUGUAGUUCAGUGGUAGAGUGCUUGCCUGGCAUGCCCACGGCCCUGGGUUCAAUCCCAGCAUUGUCC